GCRUGCGAGUCACGUAGCAAUACGUGGCAUACGGCUCAGUAACACGUAGUCAACAUGCCCAGGGGACGUGGAUAACCUCGGGAAACUGAGGAUAAACCGCGAUAGGUCAUAAUAUCUGGAAUGAUUUAUGGCUAAAAUCUACAUGGCCCCUGGAUUGGACUGCGGCCGAUCAGGCUGUUGGUGAGGUAAUGGCCCACCAAACCUAAAACCGGUACGGGCUCUGAGAGGAGAAGCCCGGAGAUGGGCACUGAGACAAGGGCCCAGGCCCUAUGGGGCGCAGCAGGCGCGAAAACUCUGCAAUAGGCGAAAGCUUGACAGGGUUAUUCUGAGUGAUUUCCGCUAAGGAAAUCUUUUGGCACCUCUAAAAAUGGUGCAGAAUAAGGGGUGGGCAAGCCUGGUGUCAGCCGCCGCGGUAAUACCAGCACCCCGAGUGGUCGGGACGAUUAUUGGGCCUAAAGCAUCCGUAGCCGGUUCUACAAGUCUUCCGUUAAAUCCAUCUGCUUAACAGAUGGGCUGCGGAGGAUACUAUGGAGCUAGGAGGCGGGAGAGGCAAGCGGUACUUAGUGGGUAGGGGUAAAAUCCGUUGAUCCACUGAAGACCACCAGUGGCGAAGGCGGCUUGCCAGAAACGCGCUCGACGGUGAGGGAUGAAAGCUGGGGGAGCAAACCGGAUUAGAUACCCGGGUAGUCCCAGCUGUAAACGAUGCAGACUCGGUGAUGAAUAGGCCUCGUGCCUUUUCAGUGCCGCAGGGAAGCCGUUAAGUCUGCCGCCUGGGGAGUACGGUCGCAAGACUGAAACUUAA
rnacentral:rRNA from 1 species